rnacentral:rRNA from 1 species
AUGAGCAUGCUGCCGCCGUGGUCGCUUUGGCUGACGAACCCGAGGAGCUUCACCAGGUGGCGGUGCCGCACCCGGCCCAGGAUCUUCACCUCCCUCGCGAAGCUCUUGUCCUGCAGCAGCAUGUCGCUGUCCAUGUGCACGAACCUCUUCACGGCCACCGUCUCGCCGGUGGGCAGUUCUGCCCUGUACACCGUCCCCGAGCCCCCGGAGCCGACGGCGAAUUGGUCGCUCAAGUUCGCCGUCGCCUCCAUGAUCGCAUCCCACCGGAACUCCCGCCGCGCCGAGCCCUUGAUAAUCAGCUGCCGGUUCGUGUUGCCCUGGGUCGACGAGAACACCGUGCAGUUCACCUCCCCGGAGUGCCGCCCGCGCCGCCGCACUGCCAUCAGCACAAGCACGAUCACUAGGAGCACAAUCGUCAGUGUCACCGCCGCGGACACCAGCGCGAUCGACGCGGAGUGCAUCGUGGACCGGCCGCUGCCGCAGCCUCUCAGAUGGCUGCCGCAGAGCGCAGCAUUGCCGGAGAAGGCGUCCUGCGGCCACCGGGAGAACUCGUCCCCCAGCCUACCAUCCAGCCGAUUGCUAGACAAGUCCAGCUCCACCAAACUGCUCAUCCUGGCGAGCUGCGACGGCACUGUUCCCACCAGAGCAUUGUGAGAGAGGUUCAAAUCUUCCAGCUUGGAGAGAGACCCAAUCGAUGCAGGGAUUAUGCCCACCAGAUUGUUGCUGCUCAAAUCCAGCAAGCUCUGCAACUCUUGCAUCUUGCCGAUGUCAGGUGGAAUCCCGCCCGACAGGUGA